AUAAGCCUGGGAAACUGGGUCUAAUACCGGAUAUGACUCCUCAUCGCAUGGUGGGGGGUGGAAAGCUUUUUGUGGUUUUGGAUGGACUCGCGGCCUAUCAGCUUGUUGGUGGGGUAAUGGCCUACCAAGGCGACGACGGGUAGCCGGCCUGAGAGGGUGACCGGCCACACUGGGACUGAGACACGGCCCAGACUCCUACGGGAGGCAGCAGUGGGGAAUAUUGCACAAUGGGCGAAAGCCUGAUGCAGCGACGCCGCGUGAGGGAUGACGGCCUUCGGGUUGUAAACCUCUUUCAGUAGGGAAGAAGCCCUCUUUGGGGGUGACGGUACUUGCAGAAGAAGCGCCGGCUAACUACGUGCCAGCAGCCGCGGUAAUACGUAGGGCGCAAGCGUUAUCCGGAAUUAUUGGGCGUAAAGAGCUCGUAGGCGGUUUGUCGCGUCUGCUGUGAAAGACCGGGGCUCAACUCCGGUUCUGCAGUGGGUACGGGCAGACUAGAGUGCAGUAGGGGAGACUGGAAUUCCUGGCGUAGCGGUGAAAUGCGCAGAUAUCAGGAGGAACACCGAUGGCGAAGGCAGGUCUCUGGGCUGUAACUGACGCUGAGGAGCGAAAUGCAUGGGGAGCGAACAGGAUUAGAUACCCUGGUAGUCCAUGCCGUAAACGU
rnacentral:rRNA from 1 species